UACAGAGGUCCCAAGCGUUGUUCGGAUUCAUUGGGCGUAAAGGGUGCGUAGGCGGCGCGGUAAGUCGGGUGUGAAAUCUCGGGGCUUAACUCCGAAACUGCAUUCGAUACUGCCGUGCUUGAGGACUGGAGAGGAGACUGGAAUUUACGGUGUAGCGGUGAAAUGCGCAGAUAUCAGGAGGAACACCAAUUGCGAAGGCAGCUCGCUGGGACGUUACUGACGCUGAGACGCGAAAGCGUGGGGAGCAAACAGG
rnacentral:rRNA from 1 species